rnacentral:rRNA from 1 species
CUACGGGAUGCAGCAGUGGGGAAUAUUGCACAAUGGGCGCAAGCCUGAUGCAGCCAUGCCGCGUGUAUGAAGAAGGCCUUCGGGUUGUAAAGUACUUUCAGCGGGGAGGAAGGGAGUAAAGUUAAUACCUUUGCUCAUUGACGUUACCCGCAGAAGAAGCACCGGCUAACUCCGUGCCAGCAGCCGCGGUAAUACGGAGGGUGCAAGCGUUAAUCGGAAUGACUGGGCGUAAAGCGCACGCAGGCGGUUUGUUAAGUCAGAUGUGAAAUCCCCGGGCUCAACCUGGGAACAGCAUCUGAUACUGGCAAGCUUGAGUCUCGUAGAGGGGGGUAGAAUUCCAGGUGUAGCGGUGAAAUGCGUAGAGAUCUGGAGGAAUACCGGUGGCGAAGGCGGCCCCCUGGACGAAGACUGACGCUCAGGUGCGAAAGCGUGGGGAGCAAACAGGAUUAGAUACCCUAGUAGUC